GCCUCUUCCUUCUCCGCCAUUUACGAAAAAUGCCGGUUACAUUUCCCUCCUUCCCUUGCUUCCGUCUGCAAAAGCCGGGUUAUUAUUUACAUAUCCGGUCACGCCCCUUCACUCGCCGCCAAUAAGCAAUAAGGGGAGGUUUUGGAAUGAAAAAUUACAAGCCCCUCCCUCUUUAUUGCUAUCUGAGGGAGAUAUUUUCUUGCGGCACAUUUAUACGAGCUCUAGCACGAGUACCCUACGCAUGCGUGUUUUUCCUUUUGGAGACGCACUUAAAGAAAAGCCAAGUUUUCAACGUGCGAGGUUUACUGUUAGGGAUCUCGAGAUGCUGGGGAUUGGAAACAGAACACAAUGCUAGGUGUUCCUUGCAGCCUGCAUUUUCUUGCAAACUUGCUUUCUGCCCUCCUGUUACUCCAUUACUAUGUUUUCAACUGCAAGUUUAAUCUAUUUGAUAACAAAUCUUGAGUUAACCUUGCUUGUUCCCAGUGAGCUCCUUAUCUGUUUAUGAGAUAGCCUUGGAAAAUUUUGCAGCAACUCACAUCUUAUACCAACAGCCUUUCUCAUUACUUUUUUAAAUAAACAGUAUGCGGACGGACAGCAAAGAGUGCAGUAUGUCAGCAGAAUGCCUCUAGUCUGCCUCCUUACAGGUUUUUCAAUCCUGGCCUAUAUUUGCUGCAUUCCUGGAACAUCAAUGCUGGCUUUCAGCAAUUCUGACUUGAUAGAUACAGAAGGCAGGAGGCCCUUAUACUAUUUUAUGUUUGUAUUUAAUGACGAAUGUAGGCUUCUGCUGAUUAUUAAAGUUGAUGGUAGCAGUU